UACGAAGGGGGCUAGCGUUGCUCGGAAUGACUGGGCGUAAAGGGCGCGUAGGCGGCGGUCACAGUCAGAUGUGAAAUUCCUGGGCUUAACCUGGGGGCUGCAUUUGAUACGUGGUUGCUUGAGUGGGGAAGAGGGUCGUGGAAUUCCCAGUGUAGAGGUGAAAUGCGUAGAUAUCGGGAGGAACACCUGUGGCGAAAGCGGCGCACUGGACCACAACUGACGCUGAGGCGCGAAAGCUAGGGGAGCAAACAGG
rnacentral:rRNA from 1 species